UACGGAGGGGGCUAGCGUUGUUCGGAAUUACUGGGCGUAAAGCGCGCGUAGGCGGACCUGCAAGUCGGGGGUGAAAGCCCGAGGCUCAACCUCGGAACUGCCUUCGAUACUGCGGGUCUCGAGUCCGGGAGAGGUGAGUGGAAUUCCUAGUGUAGAGGUGAAAUUCGUAGAUAUUAGGAAGAACACCAGUGGCGAAGGCGGCUCACUGGCUCGGUUCUGACGCUGAGGCGCGAAAGCGUGGGGAGCAAACAGG
rnacentral:rRNA from 1 species